CCUCUCUCUCUCCAAGCCUGUCUGUCCUGCCUCUCUCUCCACCCAGACAUGACUGGGGAUUGAUUUAGGUCAGCAAGUCUGGGGCUCUGCUGCACUCUGUCUCCACUCCCCAUUCAUUCGCUCAUCUGAAAAGGUCGACGAUGGUGAUCGUCGCAGGGACUUGCCAGAUGGGUGGUAGCAACAGUGCCGUGGUCUAGCCAGAGCCCAAAAUGAGAGGAUAGGAUGCCAGGACGCCGGGCCCGAGUUGAUUGGCACCUGAACGACGAAAGAGGAGGUGAGAUGAAGAGGAGGGGAAGAGUAGAGUUAUUUUGUCUACAAGCAGACAAGUGCCAUCCAGCCAGAGGGGUCGUCGUCAGUCAGUAGGACUGUGUGUUAUUGCUUUAAGGCACCAUGGAUUUGACAACCAUCUGUCCACCGUCAAAAAACUGUGUUUCAAAUGCCAUAUUCUCUCUCUUCCAACCCAGAACAUAGAUCCACAUUUAUUUGUGCUCUUCUCUCUCUCUCUUUCUCUCUCUGUUUCGAAUAUUCCUUCGUGCAGUAGCACCGGGUAUGUCCUCCCAGGAACACGAAGGGGAGACGACACAUCGGGUAUGUCUUCCCAGGAACAUGAAGGGAAGACGACACAUCAGGUAUGUCCUCCCAGGAACAUGAAGGGAAGACGACACAUCAGGUAUGUCCUCCCAGGAACACGAAGGGGAGACGACACAUCGGGUAUGUCCUCCCAGGAACAUGAAGGGAAGACGACACAUCAGGUAUGUCCUCCCAGGAACACGAAGGGGAGACGACACAUCGGGUAUGUCCUCCCAGGAACACGAAGGGAAGACGACACAUCAGAUAUGUCCUCCCAGGAACACGAAGGGGAGACGACACAUCGGGUAUGUCCUCCCAGGAACAUGAAGGGAAGACGACGAGUAAAAUAACAUUUUGGAUUUACGAGAGUCCGCAGAAAAGAAGUGGAGUCGGUUCACUUUGGCUUUUUCUCCCCCUUCUUCCUCUCUUCCUCCCAGCGUCUGUCUGGCUUGGUGCACUGCGACUGGGAAACUGUAGUUGGUAGCACACAGAGCUCUCUCCCUCUCUGCCAGUGGCAAACUGAGGAAGGCAGGCAGCGGCAGCUUCGUGACACAGCAAUCAGCUGACAUGGUGCUAUCCCUCAAUGUCCUGAGCAAGCUGGGGGGGGGGCUGGGGGCUGCUGGACGGAUGGACAGAAGCGGGUUGGGGGGGUGUUGGCUAAGACCCAGACUACACCUCCUAGACCAGAGCAGAUGAUCGACACACCGCAUUCAGACUGCCUCCCUCUGCCACCCUACUGACCAGACUAGACGCCACACACACACACACACCACCGCUGACCUGACCACACGGCUCCAGACAACAUCGACCACAGUAGAGACAGGAUGGAGGGAGGGAGAGGACUGCGCUCUGUCUGACUUGGUCCCUACCCUGCCUCUCUCUCUCUCUUUCUCUCCCUUGCUCUCUCUUUCUCAUCCCAAAUCCUCCUCCCUUUUCUCUUACACCCACACCAGUGUUCAUCUCACCACAGAGACAUGUCUCCUCCCUCCUUACUCCCUCACCACUGUUCAUCUCACCACAGAGACAUGUCUCCCCCCUCCUUACUCCCUCACCACCUGUGCAUCUCACCACAGAGACAUGUUUCCUAGAUCCUUACUCCCUCACCACUGUUCAUCUCACCACAGAGACAUGUCUCCUCCCUCCUUACUCCCUCAUCACUGUUCAUCUCAGCACAGAGACAUGUCUCCUCCCUCCUUACUCCCUCACCACUGUUCAUCUCACCACAGAGACAUGUCUCCUCCCUCCUUACUCCCUCACCACUGUUCAUCUCAGCACAGAGACAUGUCUCCUCCCUCCUUACUCCCUCACCACUGUUCAUCUCACCACAGAGACAUGUCUCCUCCCUCCUUACUCCCUCACCACUGUUCAUCUCACCACAGAGACAUGUCUCCUCCCUCCUUACUCCCUCACCACUGUUCAUCUCACCACAGAGACAUGUCUCCUCCCUCCUUACUCACUCCCCAGUGUUCAUCUCACCACAGAGACAUGUCUCCUCCCUCCUUACUCACUCCCCAGUGUUCAUCUCACCACAGAGACAUGACUCCUCCCUCCUUACUCCCUCACCACCUGUUCAUCUCACCACAGAGACAUGACUCCUUAUGCCGGUUAAUUUGGGACAACACCUGCAACCCGAUCUCAGGUGGCUCGUUGCAGCCCUAAAAAAAAAAGAACAACCUACAACCUUGAAAACGGGCAGAUGUUCAAACUAACUCAGCUCGACUUCAGGAAUCAGAGUUUGACACUAAACAAUGAUCUCUUGUCCGAAUGGGCUACAGGAUUAAAGUGUUGACGCCGGGGAAUCAUUAACGGAGCUACGCUGCCUGGCGGCUGCUACCUGGAUAAGAUAAGGCUCACCUGUUUAAACAUGCAUAUGAAUCAAUACAUUUCAUAUAUGACACGCUGAAUGGUGAGCGUAGGCUACCAUCUGUCCCUUUUGCAAUGAAUAACACAGAGUUUGUAAAUGAUUAAGAGUAAU
ensembl:lncRNA